UUUUUUUUUGGUUACUUUUUUGUUGUCUUUUCACGGUUCCCUUCCUUUUUUGUUUUUGGGUUAUAGUGAAUUUUUGGGCUUUAGUGUUUUUUGGGCUUUUAGUGUUUUUUUACUAAAACAGUUUGUUUUUCUAAAUAACAGGCCUAGGCCCAAUUAGUAACAGAUACAGUGUUUAACAUUACUGUAACUUUUUCAACGGUUGAUAUUCUCUUUUAAAAACGGUUGUAAAUCAUUUUAAAAAUGGUUGUAAAUCUUUUCAUAAUAACAGUUACUACAGCUUUUUCAACACUUUUAAAACGCUUUUAAAACAGCUUAUAAAUCGUUUGUAAAUCUCUUUUAAAAACGGUUGUAAAUCAUUUUAAAAACGAUGAUUGAACACUAUCGGGUUU
rnacentral:sRNA from 1 species